rnacentral:rRNA from 1 species
GAUGAACGCUAGCUACAGGCCUAACACAUGCAAGUCGAGGGACCGGCGCACGGGUGAGUAACACGUAUCUAACCUGCCCUUUACUCGGGGACAGCCUUUCGAAAGAAAGAUUAAUACCUGAUAUAAUGGAUGGGGGUGCGUUAGAUUAGGUUGUUGGUAAGGUAACGGCGCACCAAACCGUCGAUGGAUAGGGGUUCUGGGUGGAAUGUCCCCCGGAAUGGAACGUAGGCCCGGUCUAAACUCCUACGAGAGACAGGAGUGAGGAAUAUUAGUGAAUGAAGGCUGACCUGAACCAGCCGCGUAGCGGAAAGGGUGAAGGCUUAUUGGUCGUAAACUUCUUGUAUAUAAGAAGAUGUAUUAUAUGAAUAAGGAACGGCUAACUCCGUGCCAGCAGCCGCGGUAAUAC